GUAAAUUGUUUUUUGAAUAGCAAAAUAAUUUACUAAUUGUCCUCUUGCCCAUACAGAAAGAAACAAUGUGCCUCCCGACCUACUGAUAUCUAUUUUAUGGCUAAUGGCUAGCAAUCCUGGGUCCUAGCUGGCUGUGACAAUGUACUGUUGAGUGGUCAUUCUGGUCAAUUAUCUAGUUUGCCGACAACCCAAGAAGUGUUAUGAACUAAACACGAUGUAAACGUAUGCCUCGUCAGCCAUAAAGUAACAUUUUAGCUAGCCGGUUCCUACUACUUUAAAGGCACCGACACCGUGCCUUGCAAGAAUGAUGUCCACCUACUCUACUGUAUGUGUCAUCUGAACUGAAAACUGAAAUCCAGAUUAGGAAGUGAAAUCAGCAACUGCAAAAUAACCUAGUGCUACAGUAAUGCAAGUGGUAUGUCUGACGCAUAAUCCACAUAACAUAGUUGGCUGGCAAUGCGUUGUGCUAUUGAAUAGUCAGUCAGGUUUUAUACUGCACUCCUCCUAAGGCCCACCUCAGGCAGAGGAAUGGGGGGGGGCAGCGGUGGUGCAGGCCCGGAUUAGCAGAGUCGGAAGGGGCACUGGCAGAACCAGAAGCAGGUGAAGGAGCUGUUGAGAGAGCUGCAGACCUAGGACUAUGACAACGAGCCUUAUGAUGAAGAAGCAGAGGAGUAUGACUAGCUGGAUUACCAGGAGGAAGUGCAGUUCUGGAACCUAAUGAGCCUGUGGAGAGCCCUGUCUAUGAUCCUGACUCAGAGGAUGAACGGUAGC